CCCUUAGAUGUUCUGGGCUGCACGCGCGCUACACUGACGCACGCAACAGGUGCCUGCUCCGAGAGGGCUGGGUAAUCAUUUGAGUGUGCGUCGUGAUGGGGAUAGAAUAUUGUAAUUAUUACUCUUCAACGAGGAAUUCCUAGUAAGCGCCAGUCAGCAGCUUGCGCUGAUUACGUCCCUGCCCUUUGUACACACCGCCCGUCGCUCCUACCGAUGGGUGAUCCGGUGAAUGAUUCGGACUUCAGCGGCUCCCCUGGGGUGCGCCGGAGAAAGUUUUGUGAACCUUAUCACUUGGAGGAAGGAGAAGUCGUAACA
rnacentral:rRNA from 1 species